rnacentral:rRNA from 1 species
AAUGGGCGAAAGCCUGACGCAGCGACGCCGCGUGAGGGAUGAAGGUUUUCGGAUCGUAAACCUCUGUCAGAAGGGAAGAAACUGUGCCGCUCUAAUCAACGGCGCACUGACGGUACCUUCAAAGGAAGCACCGGCUAACUCCGUGCCAGCAGCCGCGGUAAUACGGAGGGUGCAAGCGUUAAUCGGAAUUACUGGGCGUAAAGCGCACGUAGGCUGUUGUGUAAGUCAGGGGUGAAAUCCCACGGCUCAACCGUGGAACUGCCUUUGAUACUGCGCGACUUGAAUCCGGGAGAGGGUGGCGGAAUUCCAGGUGUAGGAGUGAAAUCCGUAGAUAUCUGGAGGAACAUCAGUGGCGAAGGCGGCCACCUGGACCGGUAUUGACGCUGAGGUGCGAAAGCGUGGGGAGCAAA